GUAACGAGUAGUCAAACAUCCAACAAUAGGUGUAUCGUGAAACUUGGCUCGCACAUGCCUUUUUUUCUAGUAGAGUCAAUAACCUAAACCGAGAGAAGUGUGCGUGUUUUUUUUAGAUUUUUUUUUUUACAGAUUUUAGCCUUGAUGUUUAGCAUGUGGGUACGCGUCAAGUCAAUACUUGCAGGCGAUACCAAACAGCGGAUGUACCGGCUACAAGUAGGAGCAACUUUCCUGCGACUAGGGCUCUGAUGAUGUUCCGUUCUUGCGACCCUCUCCUUCAAUGUUUUUUCCCACUGAUUCAAUAUUACGUGCACUUAAAUUACAACUAAGAUGCUGUUUUCGCUUUGUUUUCCUUGGCAGGCUUGCUUCUGCUGUUUGUUCCUAUAUAGCUUUACUUACAAACUCUAUGGUACCACUGAAUAUUUAGUUCAUGUCCAUUACAGCCUUCUAUUCGCAGCUGAGGCUAUAAUAAAUCGACCUACUCUUAUGAUUAGCUCCGAUGAACAACAUCUAUGUACAAUUACCUAUAGCUGAGCCUAGGCCACGACGGUGCCGCAGAAAAUGGAGCCCACCAAAUUGGAGUGUGUAUCCAGCGAUAGAUCCAGUGGACUUGUCGUGCCGGCCGUAUUCACCUACGGAAAAUAAAGCACGAAUUCUCGUUCCGCACAUGUAUCUAAGCUCGCCUACAGUGCCCGAACGGAACACCUUAUACAACUAGUUUGAAUCGAAGCCGUUGAACGUUGGUGUAUUUCAGACUGGGUUCCAGGACCAAUCGGGGUACUGGUCCGGAACACGGGAAAAUAGCAGGCGACAGCAAGUAGCUGUUAAUUAUUCGGAGCCGAGGAUGAAUCGUGCAUUUAUACUCCGACGUUCUGAGUCUCUGCUGCGAAUGAAGCCCACAGGUUUUCGGCAACAGUCGUACGGUCAAAGGAAGGUCAAAGGAAAAGUCAAGAAGCCUUUCAAACUUAACCUAGCUGACGACACUAACGCGACUUAUGAAUGAUCCGAACAAUUUUCUAGCUG